rnacentral:rRNA from 1 species
GAUGAACGCUGGCGGCGUGCUUAACACAUGCAAGUCGAACGAUGAAGCCCAGCUUGCUGGGUGGAUUAGUGGCGAACGGGUGAGUAACACGUGAGUAACCUGCCCUUGACUCUGGGAUAAGCCUGGGAAACUGGGUCUAAUACUGGAUAUGACUUCUCAUCGCAUGGUGGGGGGUGGAAAGAUUUAUUGGUCUUGGAUGGACUCGCGGCCUAUCAGCUUGUUGGUGAGGUAAUGGCUCACCAGGGCGACGACGGGUAGCCGGCCUGAGAGGGUGACCGGCCACACUGGGACUGAGACACGGCCCAGACUCCUACGGGAGGCAGCAGUGGGGAAUAUUGCACAAUGGGCGCAAGCCUGAUGCAGCGACGCCGCGUGAGGGAUGACGGCCUUCGGGUUGAAAACCUCUUUCAGUAGGGAAGAAGCGAGAGUGACGGUACCUGCAGAAGAAGCGCCGGCUAACUACGUG